GCUGGGCGUGGUGGCGCAUGCCUGUAAUCCCAGCUACUCAGGAGGCUGAGGCAGGAGAAUCGCUCGAACCCAGGAGGUGGAGGUUGCAGUGAGCUGAGAUCAUGCCACUGCACUUCAGCCUGGGCAACAGAGCAAGACUCCGUCUCGA
ensembl:misc_RNA Metazoa_SRP Metazoan signal recognition particle RNA